GCGGUAGGAGAGCGUUCUGUAAGCCUGCGAAGGUGGCUUGUAAAGGCUGCUGGAGGUAUCAGAAGUGCGAAUGCUGACAUGAGUAGCGAUAAAGGGGGUGAAAGGCCCCCUCGCCGUAAGUCCAAGGUUUCCUGCGCAACGUUCAUCGGCGCAGGGUGAGUCGGCCCCUAAGGCGAGGCAGAGAUGCGUAGCUGAUGGGAAGCUGGUUAAUAUUCCAGCACCGUCGUGAGAUGCGAUGGGGGGACGGAUAGCGCAAGAUCAUCGGGGUGUUGGAUGUCCCCGUUGCUGCUCCAUAGAAGGCACCUAGGCAAAUCCGGGUGCGUAAUUCAAGGGAGUGGCUGAAUAGAGACCUCGGUCUCUAAACUGAUUGACAGUUGUCCCAGGAAAAGCCUCUAAGCUUCAGUCUCACGAGACCGUACCGCAAACCGACACAGGUGGACGGGAUGAAUAUUCCAAGGCGCUUGAGAGAACUCAGGAGAAGGAACUCGGCAAAUUGAUACCGUAACUUCGGGAGAAGGUAUGCCCUGGUAGUGUGAUGCGCCUGCGCGCAAAGCAUGAAGGGGCCGCAGAGAAUCGGUGGCUGCGACUGUUUAUUAAAAACACAGCACUCUGCCAAGACGAAAGUCGACGUAUAGGGUGUGACGCCUGCCCGGUGCCGGAAGGUUAAGUGAUGGGGUGCAAGCUCUUGAUCGAAGCCCCGGUAAACGGCGGCCGUAACUAUAACGGUCCUAAGGUAGCGAAAUUCCUUGUCGGGUAAGUUCCGACCUGCACGAAUGGCGUAACGAUGGCCACACUGUCUCCUCCUGAGACUCAGCGAAGUUGAAAUGUUUGUGAUGAUGCAAUCUACCCGCGGCUAGACGGAAAGACCCCAUGAACCUUUACUGUAGCUUUGCAUUGGAUUGUGAACCGGCCUGUGUAGGAUAGGUGGGAGGCGUUGAAACCGAGUCGCUAGAUUCGGUGGAGCCAACCUUGAAAUACCACCCUGGUCUGUUUGCGGUUCUAACCUUGGCCCGUUAUCCGGGUUGGGGACAGUGCAUGGUGGGCAGUUUGACUGGGGCGGUCUCCUCCUAAAGUGUAACGGAGGAGUACGAAGGUACGCUAGGUACGGUCGGAAAUCGUGCUGAUAGUGCAAUGGCAUAAGCGUGCUUGACUGUGAGACUGACAAGUCGAACAGGUGCGAAAGCAGGUCAUAGUGAUCCGGUGGUUCUGUAUGGAAGGGCCAUCGCUCAACGGAUAAAAGGUACUCUGGGGAUAACAGGCUGAUACCGCCCAAGAGUUCAUAUCGACGGCGGUGUUUGGCACCUCGAUGUCGGCUCAUCUCAUCCUGGGGCUGUAGCCGGUCCCAAGGGUAUGGCUGUUCGCCAUUUAAAGAGGUACGUGAGCUGGGUUUAAAACGUCGUGAGACAGUUUGGUCCCUAUCUGCCGUGGGCGUUGGAUACUUGACGGAGCCUGCUCCUAGUACGAGAGGACCGGAGUGGACGCACCGCUGGUGUAUCGGUUGUCAUGCCAAUGGCAUUGCCGAGUAGCUAUGUGCGGAAGAGAUAAGCGCUGAAGGCAUCUAAGCGCGAAACUCGUCUGAAGAUUAGGUAUCCCGGGGGCUUGACCCCCCUGAAGGGUCGUCCAAGACCAGGACGUUGAUAGGCUGGGUGUGGAAGCGCAGUAAUGCGUGCAGCUAACCAGUACUAAUUGCCCGUGCGGCUUGAUC
rnacentral:rRNA from 1 species